rnacentral:rRNA from 1 species
CCUACGGGAGGCAGCAGUAGGGAAUAUUGCUCAAUGGGGGAAACCCUGAAGCAGCAACGCCGCGUGGAGGAUGAAGGUCUUCGGAUCGUAAACCUCUGUCAGCAGGGAAGAACGGUCACUGUGCUAAUCAGCAGUGAAUUGACGGUACCUGCAAAGGAAGCACCGGCUAACUCCGUGCCAGCAGCCGCGGUAAUACGGAGGGUGCGAGCGUUAAUCGGAAUUACUGGGCGUAAAGCGCUCGUAGGCGGUAUGUCAAGUCAAGGGUGAAAUCCCCGCGCUCAACGUGGGAACUGCCUUUGAAACGGGCAAACUGGAGUGUGUGAGAGGAUAGUGGAAUUCCAGGUGUAGGAGUGAAAUCCGUAGAUAUCUGGAGGAACAUCAGUGGCGAAGGCGACUAUCUGGCACAUAACUGACGCUGAGGAGCGAAAGCGUGGGUAGCAAACAGGAUUAGAUACCCUUGUAGUC